rnacentral:lncRNA from 1 species
ACAUCCAUGUGGAAAUCGCGGUGAUGGGAACUGGAAAUGAAAUAGGUUCUUUUUCGCAGUUGUUUUUCUGCAGAAAAUCAUCAACUGUGGAGAAGAAGAAGGGAAAUAAGAAAGAAAGAAAACCCUAAAAACCACCCUGGCGCCCGGGCCCGCAGGCCUCGGGCCGGCUCUGAAAAGUUUGGGCUGUGCACGUGAUGAGCGCGUAGGCGGGAGCCCCAGACAGGACCCGGGCGGGCAUUUCGAGAAAAAGCAGCGGUGACAGCCUUUGGUCCCCAUCUCCAUUGUUCCUGCCAGCUCUGGACCCCAGGCUGCAUGAGACGUAGGUCCCAGGGGACACCCGACCCCGUGGCCCCAGUCUUAGCAAGGGAGAGAUGCACUGACCUUCUGCCAGGUAUAGAACUAUUGAAUGGUACAGUUUGAGAUCUUCGAAACCAUCAGGACUGAUCAUUUUCUGGCUACUUUCUACAUAGGAAUCCUAGAGUUCCUUGGAGAGGAUAUGAAGGUUAUUCUCAGGCCAUGCAGAUGGGCAAGAAAGGAUGUGCGUCCAUGGUUCCUCUUCAAAUCCAACCAAAACAGCCUUGCUUCCGUUGGCUUUAUAUAAUACUGCAACUCUUGAUAAUCUGAUUUAACACAAAUUUCCUCAUUGAGUUUCUCCUCAUGAAGAAACGGCCUCAGUGAGGUAAAUCGGAAUGCACAGGAGCACAUAGCAGGUUAGUGCAGACCAGAAAUCAAACCCAGGCUUUCUGACUGCUCAAUAGACCACAAUCUACCAUGCUACCAUGGAAACUUUAAAACAGAUGAAAGUAAAAACAAACAAACAACAACUUAAAAAAACAAAAACAAAAACAAAAGCAAAACCCAGAGCCUCUCUAGGAAAUACCAACGUGCUUUUGCCAAGUGGGGUUUCUCUCACUUCAUAAGAGCAGUAAACACUAAACCAAGGGAAUGUGAAUUUAGAGGUUAGAAAAGAUAACCAGAGAUUUGGCCGUGCGUGGGGCUCAUGCCUGUAAUCCCAGCACUUUGGGAGGCUGAGGCUGGUGGGUUGCCUGAGGUCAGGAGUUUGAGACCAGCCUGGCCAACAUAGUGAAACCCUGUCUCUACUAAAAAUACAAAAAUUAGCUGGGUGUGGUGGCGUGCACCUGUAAUCCCAGCUACUAGGGAGGCUGAGGCAGGAGAAUCGCUUGAACUGGAGAGGUGGAGGUUGCAGUGAGCCGAGAUGGUGCCAUUGCACUCCAGCCCGGGCAAGAAGAUUGAAAUUCCAUCUCAAAAAAAAAAAAAAAAGAAGAAGAAGAAGAAAAGAUGCCAGAGAUUUGGCGGGGUGCCGGGCUCAUGCCUGUAAUCCCAGCACUUUGGGAGGCCAAAUGGACAGAUCACUUAAAGUUAGGAGUUCCAGAAAAGAUGCCAGAGGUUGGGCCUUUACAUUGUUUUGUAAAUUCGUCAAACCUUAAUCUUAUUUAACUUCCCCACCUAUACAAAAAUUAAUGCAGUAAUUGCUUUUUAAGGAAGCAUUCCAAAGGCCAAAUAAUUCAUAUAUGUCAAGUACCCUGGGAUUCAGGAAAGAAAAAUUCUCUAUAGCUCUAAAGCAAGGAUUAUAAUUUGAGGUUUCCUGACAGUUUUUUUUAAGAAAAGAAAUACCAACCUUUCUUUUCUGGGCCAAAUGCCAAGGUAGGUAAUAACCCCUUGCCCAUUUUCUUUCCCCAAGCUGUUUUAACUAGAUAAGAGCUCUGCCUUCAUUUCCUUUUGUGAACUGACUUGGGAUGUUGCCACAUGCCCUUCAACUACUGUCAAUGCUCUAGUUUGCUGAGUGCUUUCCCCUUCAGAAUGGAAAAGGUUUUGGCAUAAAUAUCUAGCUUUCUUCAAGGUACAAAAUGCUUUCCAAGGAGCAGAGGACAGAGGGAACAAACUUUCAUGUUUCCCAAUUGUAUUAGUCUGUUCUCAUGCUGCUAAUAAAGACAUACCCAAGACUGUGUAAUUUAUAAAGGAAAAAGGUUUUACUGACUCACAGUUCCACAUGGCUGGGGAGGCCUCACAAUCAUGGUGGAAGAUGAAGGAAGAGCAAAGGGAUGUCUUCCAUGGCCAGCAAAAAGAGAAUGAAAGCCAAGGGAAGGAGAAAACACCUUAUAAAAUCAUCAGAUCUCAUGAGACUUAUUCACUACCAUGACAACGGUAUGGGUGAACUGCCCCCAUGAUUCAGUUAUCUCCCACCGGGUCCCUCCCACAAAAUGUGGGAAUUAUGGGAGCUACAAUUCAAGAUGAGAUUUGGGUGGGGACAGAGCCAAACCAUAGCACCAAUACUAGAUCCCUCAGCUUCAAGGUGGCUCCAGUGAUCCUAAGAGGAUCAAGGAAGCCCUACCUCCCUGCUUGUCCUGGAUGUCUCUGACACAUGUUAAGGGAAAAGCAUUAAUAAAGUGCUCAAGAAACAAUUGUUCAAUAGGUCAGUCUUAUAGUCAAUACCUCAUCCCAUGCUCUGUCCCCUACUCUUUGAAAAACUGCCCAAAGAAACAAUGGAUCCACGGAGUCACAAAAACAGGGCAUCCAGUGACCCUCCCCAUCUUACCAGCAAUGUGACUUUCCCACAGUAUAACGACAGCAGUGCCCAGAGCCCAAUACAAGCAGGGCUCUACACUGAGACAGAGCUGAGUUCUAGUAGCAACUACCCUCCUUAUAGCAGUGUUAUUUUAGGCAAGUUUCUCAGCUUCUGGAAGGUUCUUUUCUCAGGCUUACAUACUUUUUACCCGAAAAGAUCUUGGAGUCGUCCAUAUCAGCACAAGCAAUCUACAUUAUUAGUUUUUUUAAUGGCUGCACAGCAUUCCAUGAUAUGGCUGUACCAUUACUUAACUAUCGAUGAACAUUUAGGCAGUUUCCAGUCUCUUUCUGCAGGAGCCAAUGCUGCAAUGUGGUGGGUCAUAACUUUUUCUUUUUUUCAAAUGUGGUCUCACUAUUUCUUCCAGGCUGGAGUGUAGUGGUAUGAUCACAGCUCACUGCAGCCUCGAACUCCUGGACUCAAACAAUCCUCCUGUCUCAGCCUCCAGAGCAACUGGGAGUACAGGUGUGUGCCACCAUGCCUGACUAAGUUUUUAAAUUUUUUGUAGAGAUGGGGUCUUGCUAUAUUGACCAGGCUGGUCUUGAACUUCUGGCCUCAAGAAAUCCUCCCACCUGGGCCUCCCAGAGUGCUGGGAUUACAGGAAUGCACCACUGUGCCCAGCCCUAAAUAACUAUUUUUAUUUCCCUUUCUGUAACCGCUCAUCUUUUGUGCAUUUUUCCUUGGGUAUUGGCCUUCUUAUCAAAGUUUAAGAACUGUUUAUAUAUAGGGAUUAACCCUUAGUCUGUUGUAUGAAUUGCAAAUAUACAUGUAUUUUUAUUUGUAUAUGCAAAGUUUGUCUUUUAUCUUUGUAUAUGGGAUAGUUUUCCAAACACAGUUUUAUUUUAUUUUAUUUUUCAUCUUGCAUGUCUUUCCAAAGUACCAAGCAGAGUUUUUUUAAAAGUUGUUUUAUGGCUUCUGGGUUUUUUAAGUCAUAUUUAGAAAGAUCUUUCCCACUCUGAAAUUAAAAAAAUAAAUAAAUAAAAUCUCCCAAUUAAAAAAAAUUUGUGACUUUGUUUUUCAUAUUUAAAUAUUUAUUCCAUCUGGAAUUUAUUUUAUUUUAAGCUGUAAAGUAGAGACCUCAUUUUAUUGUAUUUCUCCAUAUGGCCACCCAGUUGUUACAAUACCAUUUACUAAAUAAUACAUCAAUUG